AUAUAGCGACAGAAAGCGCGGGAGAUUGACACGUCGAAAGUUGUGGAAUAGCGAGACGUCAGCGCUUCGCUCCAGCCCUGCAGUUUAUCGUGCUGCAGACAAGCGCUUUGCAUAGCGAAUAAAAUACUUGUUGCAUUUUUUUGGCCGACAAGAUACUGUGCAGUUUGUUAAUCGAUAAGGAGUACUAACGAAUGCUUCAUGCUUUUUAUGUGGACCACUCACCCGAAAUAUAAUCAAUUCACAAAAACUUAAUUGCAGUAAAAAUGAAUCAUACUACAAGUAACCGAUGGAUUAAAAAUGGAAGAAAGACUAGAGACAGGUUGCAGAGGUCCGGAGCCUAUCCCGGAGGCUACGGGCGGAAGGCAGGGAACAACCCAGGGUGGGGUGCCAACCCAUCACAGAUGAAGAACAAAACCUAAUGCUUUGAUGCUCAAGACCUACUACUAGGCCUACUACUAAUAAUAAAUCAAUAUAUGUAGUACAAA